rnacentral:rRNA from 1 species
GAUGAACGCUGGCGGCGUGCUUAACACAUGCAAGUCGAACGGAAAGGCCACAGCUUGCUGUGGUACUCGAGUGGCGAACGGGUGAGUAACACGUGGGUGAUCUGCCCUGUACUUCGGGAUAAGCUUGGGAAACUGGGUCUAAUACCGGAUAGGAAUCACAUGUGGGUGUGUGGUUGGAAAGCUUUUGCGGUAUGGGAUGAGCUCGCGGCCUAUCAGCUUGUUGGUGGGGUAAUGGCCUACCAAGGCGUCGACGGGUAGCCGGCCUGAGAGGGUGUACGGCCACAUUGGGACUGAGAUACGGCCCAGACUCCUACGGGAGGCAGCAGUGGGGAAUAUUGCACAAUGGGCGCAAGCCUGAUGCAGCGACGCCGCGUGGGGGAUGGCGGCCUUCGGGUUGUAAACUCCUUUCGUCAGGGACGAAGCGAAAGUGACGGUACCUGGAUAAGAAGCACCGGCUAACUACGUG